rnacentral:rRNA from 1 species
AUUGAACGCUGGCGGCAUGCUUUACACAUGCAAGUCGAACGGCAGCGCGGGCUUCGGCCUGGCGGCGAGUGUCGAACGGGUGAGUAAUGCAUCGGAACGUGCCCAGUAGUGGGGGAUAGCCCGGCGAAAGCCGGAUUAAUACCGCAUACGACCUGAGGGUGAAAGCGGGGGACCGAAAGGCCUCGCGCUAUUGGAGCGGCCGAUGUCGGAUUAGCUAGUUGGUGGGGUAAAGGCUUACCAAGGCGACGAUCCGUAGCUGGUCUGAGAGGACGACCAGCCACACUGGGACUGAGACACGGCCCAGACUCCUACGGGAGGCAGCAGUGGGGAAUUUUGGACAAUGGGGGCAACCCUGAUCCAGCCAUGCCGCGUGCGGGAAGAAGGCCUUCGGGUUGUAAACCGCUUUUGUUCGGGAAGAAAUCCUCUGGGCUAAUACCCCGGGGGGAUGACGGUACCGGAAGAAUAAGCACCGGCUAACUACGCG